rnacentral:rRNA from 1 species
GAUGAACGCUGGCGGCGUGCCUAAUACAUGCCAGUCGAGCGAACGGACGAGAAGCUUGCUUCUCUGAUGUUAGCGGCGGACGGGUGAGUAACACGUGGAUAACCUACCUAUAAGGCUGGGAUAACUUCGGGAAACCGGAGCUAAGACCGGAUGAUACUUUUACCCGCAUGGUUCAAAAGUGAAAGAGGGUCUGGCUGUCGCUUAUAGAUGGAUCCGCGCUUCAUUGGCUAGUUGGUACGGUAACGGCUUACCAAGUCAACGAUGCUUAGCCGACCUGUGAGGGGGAUCGGGCACGCGGGAGUGGAGACACGCCCCAGACCCGUGCGGGGGGCAGGAGUAGGGCAUCUGGCGGAAGGGGCGAAAGCUUGACGAUGCAACGCCGCGUGAUGGAGGAAGGUCUUCGGCUCGUAAAACUCUGUUAUGAGGUAAGAACAUAUGGGUAAGUAACUGGGUUUAUCUGACCGGAACCUAUAAAGAAAGCCCCGCCUACUUCCGG